GUGGGGAAUCUUCCACAAUGGACGAAAGUCUGAUGGAGCAACGCCGCGUGAGUGAAGAAGGGUUUCGGCUCGUAAAGCUCUGUUGUCGGGGACGAAUGUGCAGUAUUUGAAUAAAGUAUUGCAAUGACGGUACCUGACGAGGAAGCCACGGCUAACUACGUGCCAGCAGCCGCGGUAAUACGUAGGUGGCAAGCGUUGUCCGGAAUUAUUGGGCGUAAAGGGAGCGCAGGCGGGAAGGUAAGUCGGUCUUAAAAGUGCGGGGCUCAAACCCGGGAUGGGAUCGAAACUAUCUUUCUUGAGUGCAGGAGAGGAAAGUGGAAUUCCUAGUGUAGCGGUGAAAUGCGUAGAUAUUAGGAGGAACACCAGUGGCGAAGGCGACUUUCUGGACUGUAACUGACGCUGAGGCUCGAAAGCCAGGGGAGCGAACGGGAUUAGAUACCCUUGUAGUCC
rnacentral:rRNA from 1 species